GACCACCUGAUGCGUCAGGUCAAGGCCAUACGGACAGCCGGGUCGACUGCCGA
rnacentral:sRNA from 1 species